rnacentral:rRNA from 1 species
UUGCCCUAAGGUGGAGGAUAACCUCGGGAAACUGAGAAUAAGACUCCAUAGGUCUAGGAGGCUGGAAUGCAUCUAGACUUAAAACUUCGGUGCCUUAGGAUAAGUCUGCGGACUAUCAGGUUGUAGUCAGGGUAAAGACCUGACUAGCCUACGACGGAUAUGGGUUGUGAGAGCAAUAACCCAGAGAUGAUAUCUGAGACACGAUAUCAGGCCCUACGGGGCGCAGCAGGCGCGAAAACUUCGCACUGUGCGAAAGCACGACGAGGGAAUCCCAAGUGCUAGCUCGUUAGAGUUAGCUGUUUUUAUGUUUAAAACACAUAGAGAGUAAGAGCUGGGUAAGACGGGUGCCAGCCGCCGCGGUAAUACCUGCAGCUCGAGUGGUGGCCGCUAUUAUUGGGCCUAAAACGUCCGUAGUCGGUUUAUUAAAUGCCUGGGUAAAUCGUACGGCUUAACCGUACGAAUUCCAGGUAGACUGGUAAACUUGGGACCGGGAGAAGAUAGAGGUACUCCUGGGGUAGAGGUGAAAUUCUGUAAUCCUAGGGGGACCACCAGUGGCGAAGGCGUCUAUCUAGAACGGGUCUGACGAUGAGGGACGAAGCCCUGGGGCGCAAAUGGGAUUAGAUACCCCGGUAGUCCAGGGUGUAAACGCUGCUUGCUUGAUGUUAGUCGGGCUCCUUACCCGAUUAGUGUCGGAGAGAAGUUGUUAAGCAAGCUGCCUGGGAAGUACGAUCGCAAGACUGAAACUUAA